AACGAACGCUGGCGGCGUGGAUAAGACAUGCAAGUCGAACGGGACUAAAUCUGUAGCAAUACAGGUUUAGUUUAGUGGCGAACGGGUGCGUAACACGUGGGCAAUCUGCCGAGAAGUGGGGGAUAGCUCGCCGAAAGGCGAAUUAAUACCGCAUAUGAUCAGCUAAGACAUCUUAGCGACAUCAAAGCCGGGGUAACCUGGCGCUUCUUGAUGAGCCCGCGGCCAUCAGCUAGUUGGCGAGGUAACGGCUCACCAAGGCUAUGACGGGUAGCUGGUCUGAGAGGACGACCAGUCACACUGGAACUGAGACACGGUCCAGGCACCUACGGGU
rnacentral:rRNA from 1 species